rnacentral:rRNA from 1 species
AUUGAACGCUGGCGGCAGGCCUAACACAUGCAAGUCGAACGAGUGGCGGACGGGUGAGUAAUGCUUGGGAAUCUAGCUUAUGGCGGGGGAUAACUACGGGAAACCGUAGCUAAUACCGCUUACCAUAGGAUGAGCCCAAGUGGGAUUGGGUAGUUGGUGGGGGAAAGGCUCACCAAGCCGACGGUCUCUAGCUGGUCUGAGAGGAUGACCAGCAAAAAUGGGACUGAGACACGGCCAAGACUCCUACGGGAGGCAGCAGUGGGGAAUAUUGCGCAAUGGGGGCAACCUGACGCAGCCAUGCCGCGUGAAUGAAGAAGGCCUUAGGGUUGUAAAGUACUGUCGGUAGCGAGGCGUUAACUACAGAAGAAGCUCCGGCUAACUCCGUGCCAGCGGCCGCGGUAAUUC